rnacentral:lncRNA from 13 species
GUGGGGCAGUGUCACUCCUCCCUCUGCACUGCUGAGCCAGGCAGGGCCUGGUGGCACACCAAAAUGUCCAGGCAGAUGUUGCACCCAUGUGAGUCAUGGCACCUGGCACUUGUACCCUCUGCAUGAAGCAGCACAGGCAGGAAUGCCUCCUCCACUGUCACACACAAAUACCCUGCAUUAACAGCACCUUCUUCUAUUUUAUUUCAUCACAGUGCUUCUCAGAGUAUUUUCUGUUUGGUUUUGUUUUAAUUGAUUUAAAAUGCAGAAAAGGGAAAGUAAAGUAGAUUUUUGAUCAGCAACAGUCCAGAUGAAGCAAGUUUUCAAAAAAAAAAUCCAUUUAAAUAACCAAGCUGUGGCUUGCUGUUCAGAAUGAAACCAAAUAUAUAAAAUAUAUAAUUACUGUCAUAUGUAACUGGUUUUUGUAACUUGAAUAAAAUCAAAGACAAAAUAAAAUGCUUACUUGCAUUGUUUUUUUCCAGUUGACUGCCCAGAAGCCUGUAGUGCUUGAAGAGGAUGUAAACACAAGAGCUGGAUGGGAACUUUUCAAUUAAAUGUUUUGCACCAGAAAAUGCUGUUUCAUUGAAACCAAAACUAUUCAAGGAAAUAUAACAGUAGUUGAAACUUUUGUUAGCAACAUCUUGGGGUUCAGAGUUACAUUUCUGAUCAAAUGGAGAAAGAGACAAACAGACUGAUAAUCUCAAUGCACAGGACUGAGCAUUACCUGAGUUUGAUUCCUCUCACCAGGCAUCUUCCUGAGAAACAGACAAACACUGAAUCAAACAGAAGGAAAAAAAAAGCGUACAACUUCUCCAUGGCCCUGAGAACAAAUGAUAGAAAUCCCCAGUUCCUGUUGGAGGUGCAGUGUAGGAGCCCAGAGCGCCGAGAAUAUUAAUCUGCCUGUCUUUAAGGGUGGGAAGGAUUCGAGCGGGGUUUGAAAAUCUCCCACUGCUUUUACGGGUGUCAGCAAAGUCUCCGCGGGAGUUUUAAACAUCUCCUCUUCAUCACAAGCAGGAGGUGCCAGCUCUAGAAGCGUUUCAUAAAUUACUCUAGCUGGUGGUAUUAAUUUCUGAGCAGUUUCAUCUCUUAGACUGGCGUAAUGGUAUAGAAUAGAAUUAAUAUUCUCCCAAAAAGAUGGUAAAUACAAAUUUCCAAUUACUGCAUCAGGAAACUCUCUUUUCACCCAGGACAGCAAACAACAUAUUUCUUUUUUAUAUGCUGGUAAGGGAUGGUUACAAACUAGGUUUUCAAAACUAUGUAUUACAUUUGCCUCCACUUGGGACAGAACUGCACCCAUAAUUUGUUUCUUGGUCUAGUUUUGGACAGCUUACCUUGUUUUUGAUAGAUGUUAUUGGCUCGUGAAAUCCCAGACCAAGUUCUGUCCAGCAGUCCACAGCUCCUCCUCUCUCCUGUGCACCGAUGUUAGGAGAUCCUGGAUUUUGAAGGUCGACCCCGGGGUUUUCUUUUCUUCUGUUUCUGGUCGCGCAAUGCUGUCCAAAACGUUUUGGCUUUCUUCAUGCUGAUGAAGCCGAACACAGGGCACCAAAUGACACUGAACCGUGCCAUAAAUCAAAUCCCUCCUGAUGCGAGAGAAUUUUCUAAAAGUCCUUGCAAGGGGUUUCAAAGAUAAACCGAGACUUUUCCUUGAGUUUCAAUGCUGCCGGAUAGUUGUUUAUUAAGUCUUAUCAGAGGAACAGAGCCACAAGCAUGACCCAGGUACAGCAUAGAGCACAGAAAGCAGGAGUGAAGUCUCUCUAUCAAGAUUUACACAGCCUUUUAAAGAUAAUUUAACCAAUGGUUACUAAAAACGUACAUUAUUUUCACUUUCCUACCAAUUAUUCAGUAACACAGGCAGGAACUGCAGAAUUCUCUAUCGGAUCAUUCCAAACUGCUUUUACUGCAGAACACGGAGUAGUAGAAGAAGGAGAAGAAGGCUUAGAGAACAACAACAAUCCUCCAUUUUGAUAUUUUUUACUCUUAUCUAUUUACUACAAAGAGAAGCCCCAAAAUCUCUAUAUUUUUCACCCUGUGACAAUCUUACAUAGUAGUCUAUCACCUAAUUCACACCACUGUAUUUUCUAGUUCUUGCCUGAUCGUUGGUAAUUUUUUCCAAGGUUGGAGGUUAAAACAGUGUUGUUCAGGGGGGUAAGAACCCUUAAAAACAGGCAGAGAAAUAUUCUCGGCACUCCGGGUUCCUACAGUGCAGCACAUUUUUCUUGUGGUAUUGCACCUGUAGAUGACUAAGACCGCACUCUUGACCAUCUUGGCUGGUGUUACUACACUUUUGUUUGCCAAUGUAUUCAUAACAAACCUGUGACCAUCUGUGAGCAAUAAAUAGCUUAACCAGGACACUUUUCAUCUGAGUGACUUUUGGGUCAUAAGUAAAAAGUAAUUUUAACCCUUUUUUCCCCUUUCUACCUUCAAAUUUUUUUUUUGAGAUCUUUUCCCCUCCCUCAGUGAGUCUGAGCAAGUCCCAGGGAGAUGAUUAACUUC